CCCCCCCCCCCCCCCCGCCGGGUCCCCCGUCCCCCGUCCCCCGUCGCACGCCGGGUCACGCACGGCCUCGCCGUCGCGUCCUCCUCCGCCGCCAUCGCCGUCGUGUCCUCCUCCUCCGAACCGCCGGCCUCCCGACGCCGUCCGCGCCGUCCGCGCCGUCCCGUCCUCCUACUCCGAGCCGGCCCGCCUCACCGUCGCGUCCUCCUCCUCCGAGCCGCCGGCCUCCCGACGCCGCCCUCGCUGUCCCGUCCUCCUCCUCCGAGCCGGGGCCUCCCGACGCUCACUCGCUUGGCGGUUGUUCCAGGGCGUCGAGUACGGCGGGCCAAGCAACCAGGAACGCAUCUGGCCAGACGCCCUGCUGCGCAUCGCCUCCUAAUCUCAGAUUCCAGGAAAUUUUGAAGUCUGGUUCUUAGUGCAGAAUUUUGGAAAGCAGAACAAAUAAACCAUCCAAGGUAGUAGGAGCUUGCGCCAAACAGUAAUAUCAGUAGGUGAGCUCAAACAUAUGUUGUCAGCAGAUUUUGGCUAUUCAAAUUUUUUUGUAUAUACAGAAGACAACAAACCAGAAGGAGAAAAGCUAGACCUCCUAGAGUUUCAGUGCUUUCUCAACGCCUCAAUGCCUACAGGUACGCCUUGUGCUCUUGGUUCAGUUUUGGUGGAAAACUGGUAACAGUGCUAUCUGAAAGCCGCUCUACAUUCUUUCUGGUGGCAGAUUAUAGUCUUAGAUGCUCUGCAAUUGAAGUCUUUUAGUUGCCUCCAUUGGUUAUUAGUGUAGUGUAUCUUGAUGUGUAUGCAUGCAUCCAUAUCUUAGGAACUGUGCAACUGCUAACAUUGUUUGUUUGGUGCUCGAAUUGAUGGGCUCAUAUGAUUGUGGUGAGUUAUUGUUGAUAGGGGAAGGACGUUUGGCUCCCAAUCGAGUUAAUUUGUUGUAUCCGAAUAACUUGGCAAUGUACCAUCCAAAAUCUGAACUCUGAAUACAAUAUGAUACAUGUUGCUGUUUGGGGAAAUAAAAGUUCAGAGUCUGUAAGCUUUGUUCUCA